GACGAACGCUGGCGGCGUGCUUAACACAUGCAAGUCGAACGAAGAGCGAUGGAUGUUUGCUUCUAUCAAUCUUAGUGGCGAACGGGUGAGUAACGCGUAAUCAACCUGCCCUUCUGAGGGGGAUAACAGUUGGAAACGACUGCUAAUACCACAUACGAUUCAAUCUCGGCAUCGAGGAUGGAUGAAAGGUGGCCUCUAUUUAUAUGCUAUCAUUGAAGGUGGUGAUUGCGUCGGAUUAGUUCGUUGGCGGGGUAAGGUCCCACCAAGGCGAGGAUCAGUAGCAGGUCUGAUAGGAUGAGCGGCCACAUUGGGACUGAGACACGGCACAGACGCCUACGGGAGGGAGCAGUGGGGAAUCGUCCGCAAUGGGCGAAAGUCUGACGGAGCAACGCCGCGUGAGUGAGGACGGCCUUCGGGUUGUAAAGCUCUGUUAAUCGGGUCGAAAGGUCCUCUUGCGAAUAGUUAGAGGAAUUGACGGUACCGGAAUAGAAAGCCACGGCUAACUACGUG
rnacentral:rRNA from 1 species